CCAGCAGCUGCGUUAAUUCCAGCUCCAAUAGCGUAUAUUAAAGUUGUUGCAGUUAAAAAGCUCGUAGUUGGGUUUCUGGCAGGAGCGACCGGUCUCACACUCUGUGUGAGAACUCGUGUUGUCUCUGGCCAUCCUUGGGGAGAUCCUGUUUGGCAUUAAGUUGUCGGGCAGGGGAUACCCAUCGUUUACUGUGAAAAAAUUAGAGUGUUUAAAGCAGGCUUAUGCCGUUGAAUAUAUUAGCAUGGAAUAAUAAGAUAGGACUUUGGUACUAUUUUGUUGGUUUGUGCACCAGAGUAAUGAUUAAUAGGGACAGUUGGAGCUAUUCGUAUUCCAUUGUCAGAGGUGAAAUUCCAGGAUUUAUGAAAGACUGACUUCUGCGAAAGCAUUUGCCAAGGAUGUUUUCAUUAAUCAAGAACGAAAGU
rnacentral:rRNA from 1 species